UUGACAUCCAGCGAACUUGGCAGAGAUGCCUUGGUGCCUUCGGGAACGCUGAGACAGGUGCUGCAUGGCUGUCGUCAGCUCGUGUUGUGAAAUGUUGGGUUAAGUCCGCAACGAGCGCAACCCUUAUCCUUUGUUGCCAGCGAUUCGGUCGGGAACUCAAAGGAGACUGCCGGUGAUAAACCGGAGGAAGGUGGGGAUGACGUCAAGUCAUCAUGGCCCUUACGAGUAGGGCUACACACGUGCUACAAUGGCGCAUACAAAGAGAAGCGACCUCGCGAGAGCAAGCGGACCUCAUAAAGUGCGUCGUAGUCCGGAUCGGAGUCUGCAACUCGACUCCGUGAAGUCGGAAUCGCUAGUAAUCGUGGAUCAGAAUGCCACGGUGAAUACGUUCCCGGGCCUUGUACACACCGCCCGUCACACCAUGGGAGUGGGUUGCAAAAGAAGUAGGUAGCUUAACCCUCGGGAGGGCGCUUACCACUUUGUGAUUCAUGACUGGGGUGAAGUCGUAACAAGGUAAGCGUACGUGU
rnacentral:rRNA from 1 species